GGAGGCAGACACCGCCAUUCCUGUCUGAUACUUGGGGCUGUAGCUGCUGCAAUCCACUCAGGCCCUCAGCUCUGGUCCAGGUCAGUGUGAUGUUAGGGAUAAAUGUGUGUGGGGCAUCCUUAGAACAAAGCCAGGGAAUCGGGAAUUUAAAUCACUCUGAUUUAUGCCCAGCUUGUCAACUCUCCUGGGCUUUAGAAAUGCUGAAUAUUCGAGCAUUUGCUUUCAGAUGUGGCACUUGCUUUCAGAUGUGAGGUGGGGCUUGUUCCCAGUUGAUUAUUAACAAUGGGGACCCUGACACUUCAGUGAUGCUCAGCUGAAACCUUUAAACUCAUCCAUUCCUGCUUUGUGACGUGCUAGAGAUUCCACGAAUUAAGAAAAAAACACUCUAUAGGAACAUCAUCUGACUUUUUUGAGCAGUAUUUCUGCGACCAGUUAGUUACCUUGGGGGCGGGGGGCGGGGAUGGAGGCUUAAGCAUCCUUUAUCUGUGUUCACACAUCUGAGCUGCCACUCUCUUACUGAGUGUUGGGAAUGCACAUCAAGUCUAUACUAACGAAAAAUUCUUUCCUGAAGAGGAGACAAUGGCGGGAUACUCCUCUACCGCCUGUAUUGUGGCUGCUUAUUAUGUAUCUAACAGUGUUCCAUGCUGAGCAGAAAACCUGGUUCCUCCUGCCCACGCGGUUACUAUAAAUGUUUCAAUCAAUCCCUUUCAUGCAGCACAGAGCACAGGAAGCACAAUGUGCAGUGACUAAACAAGCCAUUUAAAUUCUUCUCAGGCAGAGAGGUUAAGAGAGAGGUGGGGGGGAUUCUUCCUGUGUUGCCCAGGUUGGCCAGGAACGUCUGUGUCCAGGUGAUCUUCCUUCUGGAGCAGCUGUCAGCCCGCAUCACUAUGCCUAAGUUAAAUGCUUUAUUAAGUUAAGGAUAAAUCAACAAUCAAAAAUAAGUGGACAUGGUUGGGAACACCUGUAAUGCCAGAAUCCAGGAUGUGGAGGUUGCCAGGAGUUCCAUCAUAUCCUGGACUUCAUUUGUUCUUAGGAGUGAGUUGUGGUGGAGACACAGAGUUCUGGAGAUCCAUGCUGAUAUCUGCGAAGGACCCAAAGAUACAGAAAACUCAUGCCUGCUCCAACUGAGCUGCAUGUUAGACUCAAUGAUGCAGAGGUCACACCCAUGGACGUGGAUGUCAUCGCUUUAGACUGCAGCCAGGAUGUGGGACUUUCAACAAAGCUGCCCAGAGGAUUCAACAUGCAACAGAUCUGAGAACCACAGACUCAACCCAAAGUUCAUCCGAAAGGCUCCAGGAUGGCAAAAGAUGUUUCCUUUCUAAACAUCACUCACCAGUGCUCCUCU
rnacentral:lncRNA from 1 species